UACUACCUCCGUCUUGAAAUAAGAUAUUUUUUUACUGUUCGUCUUAUUUAAAAUAUUUUUACGAUUAAUAUUUUUAUUCUUACUAGAUGAUAAAACAUUAAUAAUACUUUAUGCGUGACUAAUCUUUUUAAGUUUUUUUACAAAUUUUUUAAAUAAGACAAAUAGCUAAACGUCGGACACGAAAAAAC
rnacentral:pre_miRNA from 1 species